rnacentral:rRNA from 1 species
UACGGAGGGUGCAAGCGUUAAUCGGAAUUACUGGGCGUAAAGCGCACGCAGGUGGCUGAGUCAGUCGAUUGUGAAAGCCCUGGGCUUAACCUGGGAAUUGCAGUCGAUACUACUCGGCUCGAGUAUGGGAGAGGGCAGUGGAAUUCCCGGUGUAGCGGUGAAAUGCGCAGAUAUCAGGAAGAACACCCGUGGCGAAGGCGGCUCUCUGGAACGCAACUGACGCUGAGACGCGAAAGCGUGGGGAGCAAACAGG